rnacentral:rRNA from 1 species
UACGAAGGGGGCUAGCGUUGCUCGGAAUCACUGGGCGUAAAGCGCACGUAGGCGGCUUUCUAAGUCAGGGGUGAAAUCCUGGAGCUCAACUCCAGAACUGCCUUUGAUACUGGAGAGCUUGAGUCCGGAAGAGGUGAGUGGAACUCCGAGUGUAGAGGUGAAAUUCGUAGAUAUUCGGAAGAACACCAGUGGCGAAGGCGGCUCACUGGUCCGGUACUGACGCUGA